rnacentral:rRNA from 1 species
AGAGUUUGAUCAUGGCUCAGAUUGAACGCUGGCGGCAUGCCUUACACAUGCAAGUCGAACGGCAGCACGGGGGCAACCCUGGUGGCGAGUGGCGAACGGGUGAGUAAUAUAUCGGAACGUACCCUGGAGUGGGGGGAUAACGUAGCGAAAGUUACGCUAAUACCGCAUACGAUCUAAGGAUGAAAGUGGGGGAUCGCAAGACCUCAUGCUCCUGGAGCGGCCGAUAUCUGAUUAGCUAGUUGGUGGGUAAAGGCCUACCAAGGCAUCGAUCAGUAGCUGGUCUGAGAGGACGACCAGCCACACUGGGACUGAGACACGGCCCAGACUCCUACGGGAGGCAGCAGUGGGGAAUUUUGGACAAUGGGGCAACCCUGAUCCAGCAAUGCCGCGUGAGUGAAGAAGGCCUUCGGGUUGUAAAGCUCUUUUGUCAGGGAAGAAACGGUUGGGGCUAAUAUCCUCGGCUAAUGACGGUACCUGAAGAAUAAGCACCGGCUAACUACGUG